rnacentral:rRNA from 1 species
UGUCGUCAGCUCGUGUUGUGAAAUGUUGGGUUAAGUCCCGCAACGAGCGCAACCCUUAUCCUUUGUUGCCAGCGGUCCGGCCGGGAACUCAAAGGAGACUGCCAGUGAUAAACUGGAGGAAGGUGGGGAUGACGUCAAGUCAUCAUGGCCCUUACGACCAGGGCUACACACGUGCUACAAUGGCGCAUACAAAGAGAAGCGACCUCGCGAGAGCAAGCGGACCUCAUAAAGUGCGUCGUAGUCCGGAUUGGAGUCUGCAACUCGACUCCAUGAAGUCGGAAUCGCUAGUAAUCGUGGAUCAGAAUGCCACGGUGAAUACGUUCCCGGGCCUUGUACACACCGCCCGUCACACCAUGGGAGUGGGUUGCAAAAGAAGUAGGUAGCUUAACCUUCGGGAGGGCGCUUACCACUUUGUGAUUCAUGACUGGGGUGAAGUCGUA